rnacentral:lncRNA from 1 species
CCGCAUCUACCAGGAAGUUGUGGGCUGGGAUGAUGACCUUUAGCCACGGAAACACUCAGCCCUACUGUACGCAGAAGCCGUGAGAUGUAGUCAAGUUAAGAUGAUGCCACCCUGGAUAGCCCUCAAUCCGGUGUGAGUGGUGUCCUUAUAAGAAGAGAGAACUUUGGGCACAGACUUGCAGACACAGAGAGGAGGCCACAUGAGGAUGGAGGCCGAGAGCAGAGUGAUGUGGCCACAAGCCAAGGAAUGCAAAAAUCGCUGGCAGCCACCAGGAGCUGGGAGAGGCCUGGAACCGGUUCUUUCUCAGAGCCUCCAGAAGGAACCAGCCUAUCUGAUUUUGAACUUCUGGCCUUCAGAAUUGCACACCCAUUGCUCCUGGGCCAGCUCUCCAGCUUCACGACACACAGGUGCACACUGGGAGGGUGGACUGAGCGGUGCCCGUGUCCUCUGGUGGGCUGGGUGGCAGCGGUGCCAAAGAAGGAGGUAUGGAGCGUGACAUUGUCAGCGGAGACCUGGGGGCUCAUCCACA